GCAGAGUUAGACAGAUGUUUGAGCUCAGCUCGAGGCAGUCGCACACAUCUGGAAACGUUGCAUCACAGCCGAAUGUCCCGGAUAAAGGGAACGGAGAGCCUGUUGUGUUGGUGGAGGAAGAAAAACUGGAUGCUUCAUGAUGAUGAUCGUUGCUGUAUUUGGUUCGUGAGCGGAGGACGCAGAGAAAAAGACGCAAACCACCGGACUCAGUGAGAGGAGGUGACGACAAGGAGAAAAAAUGCCGGUACCUCCUCCACCUCCCCCUCCGCCACCCCCCACCUUCUCUCAGGCAAACACUGAGAAGCCUGUCUUGAAUAAAUCGGCGCAGCAUGGCAGGAAUGCUCUACUGUCCGACAUCAGCAAAGGAGCAAGGCUAAAGAAGUCAGUUACUAAUGACCGUAGCGCCCCCAUACUUGACAGUAAGAUCCUGCACCUUAUGGAGUUACA
rnacentral:lncRNA from 1 species